AGCGGAAAGGCCACUUCGGUGGUACUCGAGCGGCGAACGGGUGAGUAACACGUGAGUAAUCUGCCCCUGGCUUCGGGAUAGCCACCGGAAACGGUGAUUAAUACCGGAUAUGACAGACCCUCGCAUGGGGGUGUGUGGAAAGUUUUUCGGCCAGGGAUGUGCUCGCGGCCUAUCAGCUUGAUGGUGAGGUAAUGGCUCACCAUGGCUUCGACGGGUAGCCGGCCUGAGAGGGUGACCGGCCACACUGGGACUGAGACACGGCCCAGACUCCUACGGGAGGCAGCAGUGGGGAAUAUUGGACAAUGGGCGGAAGCUCGAUCCAGCAACGCCGCGUGAGGGAUGACGGCCUUCGGGUUGUAAACCUCUUUCAGUACCGACGAAGCGCAAGUGACGGUAGGUACAGAAGAAGCACCGGCCAACUACCGUGCAGCCGCCGCGGUAAUACGUAGGGUGCGAGCGUUGUCCGGAAUUAUUGGGCGUAAAGGGCUCGUAGGCGGUUUGUCGCGUCGGGAGUGAAAACGCCGUGCUUAACACGGCGCUUGCUUCCGAUACGGGCAGACUAGAGGUAUUCAGGGGAGAACGGAAUUCCUGGUGUAGCGGUGAAAUGCGCAGAUAUCAGGAGGAACACCGGUGGCGAAGGCGGUUCUCUGGGAAUGACCUGACGCUGAGGAGCGAAAGUGUGGGGAGCGAACAGGAUUAGAUACCCUGGUAGUCCACACCGUAAACGUUGGGCGCUAGGUGUGGGGUCCAUUCCACGGAUUCCGUGCCGCAGUAACGCAU
rnacentral:rRNA from 1 species